UUAAUUGAAGCCAAAAAGAGGCAUAUUACUGUUAAUAAUAUAAUUAAGGAAAUCCUUCAAUUAAA
rnacentral:tRNA from 1 species